ensembl:lncRNA
AUGUUAACUCCGAAUUGCGAGAAAAAAUUCUGGAUUCUGUUCGCAAUUCUGACUUUUUUCCUCAAUCUUUCAAAUCUGAGUUUAUGUCUCGCAAUUCUGACUUUUAUUCUCGAUCUCGCAAUUCUAUUUUUUCCUUUUUUACAUCUUAUAAUUCUGACGUUUGUCUCAAUCUUGCAAUUUUGAAUUUACAUCUCUCAAUUCUGACCUUUUUUUUGCAAUUCUAUUUAAAAAAGUAUUGAGAUAAAAGUUACCUUUUAAAUUUUAUUAUAAGUAUUCAAGGCACAAAUCCGUUUAUUUUUAUUUUAUUUUUUUUGUAAUGCAAACUAUUAAAUAGACUACCUUUCAAAAGUUUGGGGUCGUUUUUAGUUUAGUUUUUAAAAGAAAACUGGAUUCUGUUCGCAAUUCUGACUUUUUUUCUCAAUCUUUCAAAUCUGAGUUUAUAUCUCGCAAUUCUGACUUUUAUUCUCGAUCUCGCAAUUCUUGAAUUUUGAAUUUACAUCUCUCAAUUCUGACCUUUUUUUUUUUUUUUGCAAUUCUAUUUAAAAAAGUCUUGAGAUAAAAGUUACCUUUUAAAUGUUUUAUCCUGUGGCAGAAACAGGCUUCCAUAACAAACAGCAGCAAACAAAAUUGUUUUCAGAUUUGAUUCUGUUUGAUGCUGUUAAUGGUGCCAAAUAUGUUGUUCACUUUCAUGCAGAUUUCUGUCCAAUCCAUAAGCCAUACAGUUAGCUCCACACAUACAGUGCUUUGAAUAUGUUUUAUAAUGCAUUAUUGUGUUUAUCACUUAUUUUGGACAGAAGUUUCUGUAUGUGGGUCAAUAUGAAUUUGAAUGUUGGUGUUGCAGAUAACAAAAAUCAAGCUUGCAUGUGCACAGACAUAUACUGUAUACUGUACUUCACACAAGGAAUAAUGUAGAAGUAGCCAGUCGUUCUUGCAGAGUGAAGUAAAGGCUUGUAUUCUGUGAUCAUGACUGGCUGGCUGUACUUUAUCCUACUUAUUACAAGUCAAUUUACCAAAUACAUAAAUAUAAGCAUAUUUAAGCUUUAAACAAUACAUUUCAGUUGAGCCUUAUUUAUUAGUUUGUGAAAACAACAAUGCAUGAGAAAUUAGCCAAUAAUUCAAAUGCAUUUUCUGUACAUAUUUGAGCAUGUGAUAAUAAUAAAAAAUUGCAUUGAUUCAUGUACAGUGCUGACAAGGUUUAAUGGGCAGAUGGCAGAUUAGGCAGCACUGCAUUAUGGGAUGUCAACAGGCAGAUACGUUUGAUGAUAUUAUUUCACAUUAAACAUUUACCUGCAUUUUACAAGCAGUUAUGCAAUGCCUUAAAUAUUAGGAAAAAAUGCAGAAAUGCAAAGCAAGCAAUGAAGUGUCCUCAGUGUACAGUAAGUUUAAAAUAGAUAUCUGCAUUGUUAAAAAUGUUAAGACACGUGAGAACUGAAUAAAAAAAGUGUCAAAUAUUGUGUGAAUUUACAUUGCAGUGUUUUUAUUUUAUUUUAUUAUUAUUAUUAUUAUUACAUGUGUAGUUCUACAAGUUUGUUAUAAUUAAGUGACAAUGGUUUGCUGUGAUUCAAUUACAUCUUUAAUUUUUAAAAUUAAUAUGUUGCCUACCCUAAAAAAAGGUCAAGAUUAC